rnacentral:rRNA from 1 species
UAAGGAAUAUUGGUCAAUGGAGGCAACUCUGAACCAGCCAUGCCGCGUGAAGGAUUAAGGCCCUCUGGGUUGUAAACUUCUUUUAUAUGGGAAGAAAUGUUCUGAUUCUUCAGAGCUUGACGGUACCAUAGGAAUAAGCACCGGCUAACUCCGUGCCAGCAGCCGCGGUAAUACGGAGGGUGCAAGAGUUAUCCGGAUUCACUGGGUUUAAAGGCUGCGUAGGUUGGCAGAUAAGUCAGUGGUGAAAUCUUCCGGCUUAACCGGAAAAUUGCCGUUGAUACUAUUUGUCUUGAAUAUUGUGGAGGUAAGCGGAAUAUGUCAUUUAGCGGUGAAAUGCUUAGAUAUGACAUAGAACACCAAUUGCGAAGGCAGCUUACUAUAUAAUUAUUGACACUGAGGCACGAAAGCGUGGGUAGC